GACAAAAAAAUUCAUGUUAUGUUAAUUAUUACAAACAUAAAUUAUAUAUUUCACUUUGAUAUAAAUUGCUAUGAAAAGUUUUAUAUAUAUUUUUGUUUAAAAAAAAACAACUCAUUAUUAAUUUAUGUAAUAUAAAAGUUUCUUGUCACCUGAAAGUUCUUCUAAACAGUCUCAGCCAAGCUCUACAACCUCCAAGACUGAGACUGAGAUGAUGCUUUGAGUAAAGCCAUUGUUUAGUCAAGACUGAAUGUCAUUACAAGAAAUGAAAUGAAAAGGGAAAAAAUCUAUCAGAAAGGAUUUGAUUGGAUUGGUCAAGGUAAGUGUUGAAGUUUGGAGAUUCAACCAGAUUUGGAAUGAAAUUAUUUGUUCUUAAAUUAGUCAACAGUCUGCA